rnacentral:rRNA from 1 species
AGAGCAUGAACGUGCGUUAUGGGAUGUCAAGUCAGUUUGCAGAAAGGACGUGGUUGACUAACUUAUGCUCAGGUGAACGUACGUAACUGGACGGAAAAUAACGGACUAGCUACACUACCGUGUCAAGCCAAGCCGUAGUUAGUACGGUUAGCGAUGCUAUUACGUCAAUAUCUGAACUAGCUGGACAGUCAACAGCGCUGCGGCGUCGUUUAAGGAAAGAAAUGAAUAUGAAACUCGCAUAAGACUAAACUAGGAACUUGCAUUCUUAAACUAGCCAGGAUAGAGUGUGUCAGAGGGAAGAUGGACAUGCCGCGCGUAGCAGUGAAGUGCAGUAUAUUGUGCGGAGGCACACCGAAUGGGGAAGGCCCGCCUUCCUUGGAAUAACACUGACGUUCAUGCACGAAAGCGUGGGGGAGCAAAACUGGGAUAGCUACCCUGUGUAGUCCACGCCACGAAACGAUGUCAAAUAGCUGUUUGGGGCAUUCGGGCCCUUGGUAGCGCAGCUAACGAGUGAAGUUGACCGCGUGAGGGAGUACGGUCGCAAGAUUAAAACUCAAAGGAAUGGACGGGGACCCGCACAAGCGGUGGAUGAUGUGGAUUAGUUGGAUGCAACGCGACAAACCUUACUUACCAUUGACAUGUAAGGAAUGCCGAAGAGAUUUGGCAGUGCUCGCAAGAGAACCGGAACACAGCUGGUGCAUGGUCGUCGUCAGCUGGUGUAGUGAGAUGUUGGGUUAAGUCCCGCAACGAGCGCAACCCUUGUCAUUAGUUGGUACGAAAGGGCACUCUAAUGAGACUGCCGGUGACAAACCGGAGGAAGGUGGGGAUGACGUCAAGUCCUCAUGGCCCUUAUGGGUAGGGCUUCACACGUCAUACAAUGGUCGGGACAGAGGGUCGCCAACCCGCGAGGGGGAGCCAAUCCCAGAAACCCGAUCGUAGUCCGGAUCGCAGUCUGCAACUCGACUGCGUGAAGUCGGAAUCGCUAGUAAUCGCGGAUCAGCAUGUCGCGGUGAAUACGUUCCCGGGUCUUGUACACACCGCCCGUCACACCAUGGGAGUGGGUUUUACCAGAAGUAGUUAGCCUAACCGCAAGUAGCACGAUAACCUAGAGUAGGCUACCCCACUC